AUGGCUUUAAAAAAACUCCUAUAUUUUUCCAUAGUUAUUAAAAAACAGGAACUUUUAGGCUCUGAAGAUCAUGUGGACCAGAGCAAAUUAAAGUUCAGGGCCGGCCGCGGCGGCGCCAACCCCCAGGAUGGCGGCUUUUGGCCACUGAGAAGGAGGCGUCGGCCCAGCGAGAGGAAGGGACAGGGGAGGCCGGCGCGGUGAUUGGUGGAAGCACCAGCGCUAGCCCUGGCUGCUCUCACGCGCGAUGCCGAGAGGGCCCUGCGGCGCCGCCCAUUGGCGACGAGGUCCUGACGUCACCGCGACCCUCUCCAGGCUGCUGUGCUUCGUGCCCUCUCGCCGCGCCCGGCUUGAGGAAAUGGAAGCCCCGGCUGUUGACGCCAUCAUGUCGCCUGAAGAAGAGCUGGAGCCUCUCGGCAAGCAGCCGGCUGUCCUGCCCCUGCUGGAAUUGGUCGGGGAGGCUGGUAAUGGCUCCAGUACGUACGGGUCGGAGUAGGACGAGUUGUACUGGCAGUCGCUGGAGAUUAUCUCUGGGUACCUUGGGUAGCAGGCAACUGGCACCAAGGACACGAAGCCAAUGGGCAGGUCUGGGGCCGCCAACAGGAAGGCGCUGGACACCUUACGACGCGUUAGGGAAGGCGUGCCCCGCAACCGCUAGAUGGCCUUACGAGGCAUGCUUCGGAAACUGGACAUCAAAAACGAAGACGACGUCAAAUCUUUGUCUCGAGUGAGGCCCAUGUUUUCAGCGACGGCGUAACAAGCUGGGGUAGGAUUGUGACUCUCAUUUAUUUUGGUGCCUUUGUGGCCAAACACUUGAAGACCAUAAACCAAGAAAGUUGCAUCGAACCAUUAGCAGAAAGUAUCAGAAGUUCUCGUUAGGACAAAACGGGACUGGCUAGUUAAACAAGUAGGCUGGGAUGGGUUUGUGGAGUUCUUCCAUGUAGAGGACCUAGAAGGUGGCAUCAGAAAUGUGCUGCUGGUUUUGCAGGUGUUGCUGGAGUAGGAGCUGAUUUGGCAUAUCUAAGAUAGGCUUAUAAGUGCAAUAGUUGACUUUUAACCAACCACCACCACCAAAACCAGGUAACAUCUGUGACAUCAGCUGGACUCCAAGCUGUGACUUCCAAGAGUUGCGCUCUGGCAACCUAGCCAAGUGGCAUGCAUUAUGGCUAACAAGAAUAAAUACAUGGGAAAAGAUCUACCCCUUGAUUGAAGAGGCACUGUCUGAAAGAAGCAAAGUUCGGUUUCAGCAAAAAGCAAAGUUUGUUUGGGAGGCUAUGGAGGAGGACUUUUGGAUUUAGUGAAGAUGGUAGAGUGGAAAGACUUAAUUUCCUUGUUGAGAACAGGAGAGUGGCCAGUAGCCAGGCAAGUCAUAGAAUUGAUUAAAUAUACCCACCGAAUUCAUUAAUUUUCUGUAGUGUUAAGAGAAGCACUAACAAUGCCAGUGACCUGUAUAAAAGCUACAAGUAAUAGAACUAUGACAGCAAGCCUCAGUACUGUACAAGGGAAGCUUUUCCCCUCUAUAAUUAGCUUUCCUAAUAGAAAGUCCAGGUGUUCAGGACUUUUAUACUUGUUAUACUUUGGCUUGGCUUCCAUGAUUCUUAGUUUAUUAGCCUAGUUUAUGGCCAAGAAUACUUGACGGAAGUCUCAGAUAUUAGUUUUGAAUAUGGCUAUCCUCAGUUUUUAAGACAAAUAAAUUGUAAAUGUAUUUGUAAAAAUUGUGUAUAUUUUUACAGAAAGUCUGUUUCUUUGAAACAAAGGAAAAGGAGUCUUGAAUUUACAUUAGUUUUUUUCAUACCCUUUUGAACUCUGCAACUUCUGUAAUUAGGAAUCUGUUUCUUAAAGCUUUUCUAUGCUAAACUUUGUUCUAGUCAGUCUAGAGUGUAUACAGAAUGAACUGAUGUGUAACUGUAUGCAAACUGGUUGUAGUGGAACAAAUCUGAUAAACUAUGCAGGUUUUAAUGUUCCUAUCUGAUUUUGGUAAGUAUUCCUUCGAUAGGUUUUUCUUUGAAAACCUGGGAUUCAGAGAUUGAUAAAUGGAAACUAAUCUUUUCACUUAUAUGCAGGUUUUCAAUAAUUAGAUCUAAGUGGAGUUUUAAUGUUACUGAUCACUUACAAAUAAUGGGUUCUGAUUGGGCAAUACUCAUUUGAGUUCCUUCCAUUUGACCUAAUUUAAUUGGUGAAAUUUAAACUGAACUCAUGAGCUCAUCUUUAAAGCUGCUACUAAAAGAUUUUCAGCUGUUCUGAAUGGAACUCAUUAGCUAUGUGCAUAAAAAAGAUCACAUCAGGUGGAUGGAGAGAUAUUUGAUCACUUGUUUGCUUAAUACAUUGUAAAAUCAUGGCUUGGAAA